UACAGAGGUCCCAAGCGUUGUUCGGAUUCAUUGGGCGUAAAGGGGCGCGUAGGUGGCGCGGUAAGCGUGCGGUGAAAGCCUGGGGCUCAACCCCGGGUCGGCCGUGCGAACUGCUGGGCUUGAGCACUGUAGAGGCAGGCGGAAUUCCACGUGUAACAGUGAAAUGCGUAGAGAUGUGGAGGAAUACCGAUGGCGAAGGCAGCCCCCUGGGCCAAUACUGACGCUCAUGCACGAAAGCGUGGG
rnacentral:rRNA from 1 species